GGUUUCGAACAACAGCCCCGCUGCUCGGCGGGGCCUGGGCCGUCUUCUCUCUCGUCUCCACCCAAGCUCUGCUCCUGUUGGGGGAGCAAAAGGCGCUGGAGGCCCAGCUGGGGUUGGGGGGGACGGGGGGAUUGCUGUCCACCGCCCAGAGCUGCCGGACAGACGGAUAGAACCGAGCCUCUUCUCUGAGCUGCUCUGGGAAAAAGACAUGGGAGCCAGAUUGUGAAACAUGGUGUCUAUAGCUCCAAGGCUGCUGAGAUGGAGAUUAAUUACUUUGAUCACAGUGAAUAUUUCACAACAUACAUACAUCAAAUCCUCAAGUUGUACAUGGCUACGACAGUAAAUAAAUAUGAGGCUUUGGGCUGCAACCAUCUUGCUGCCUCAAGGGAAGCCAGCCAGAGGGUGAGGCCAGCACAGGAAACAGUGAAGCCCGCGACUCAGAGAACUGAGCCUCAAGACCUGAUUUGAGUCUCUAGACUAAGCCCUGUCUGAAGCCAACCUUAUCCAUAGACUUCCAAAGAUGCUCAAGCAACCCGACAUGCAGGCCAGGAGGAGACCGUGUCAGGCUGUCCCCCCUGCCUCGGCUGUAGGCACGACACACGUCCAGCCUUCUGGAGAGCCAGCCGUUCGCCGACUCCACCAGUUGUUGGCCAAUUCCUGCCCAUCCCAUCUGCAUGAAUUCAGUAGAAGUUCACUAAGACAUCGUGCUUACGUGAGGAUGAAGAAUAUAUCAAGACGAUUGCAAUAGGAAUUCUGUCCUCGGAAAUCUUAUGUCUGUACUUUCAAAUAUAAUUUAAAAAAGAAAGUAAUAUUUUCUGUAAAAAGGUACAGAAAGAUCCAUUUUUUUUUUCCUGUAUGCAACUGGUACCCUCUUUGUUUGGCCGUGAACACACUGCCACUGAUUCUCCACUGACUCAUUAGCAACCCUUUUGAUGUUUCCAUUUCAAAGUGGUAUUAUCUCUAAAUGUCUUAACUUCCUAGAAUCAAUGUAUUGUGCCUAAAAGGAAGUAACUGGUUAUUCUGAAGUGAUGGACAAGAUAUCUCCCAAUUCCUGAAUUCCACAUAAUUAUCACUAAAUAGUGUUUUCCUACUGACCAGACGUAUCUGUCAUAGCUCUAGACUGCUAAACACACAGCUCUUGUCCUUAAGGAGUGGAUAACCUCUGUAGGACAUUGAACAAUAAAUGAACACACAUAUGUAUUGUAUAUAUAUGAUGGAGUCCCCUGAUUAUUUAGAAGAACAAAGUAAGAACUGACCUUUGGAGGCUCUUCCAAUCAGUUGGAAUAUAAUACAGCAGAGGUAGAGCCCGGCUUGACCCCGAAGGAAAUCUCACAAAAGAGUUGGGAUUUUAGUUGAUGCAAAGGAUGGAAUGGAGUUAACUUCAAAGUGACAGAGUAUCCCAGUUAAAUGAAAUAAGAUGGGAAGGCUCAUGAUUGGGUGGAUGAAAAAGAAGGGCCCCCUUUUUAAAUCCUAGAUUGAAAUAACAUCUGAUAUAUUUGUAGUAUGUAUAAUUUUGUCAUUUUAUGAUUAAUGAUAGACUUGGAAAGAGCUACUCUUGGGUGCAUCCUAGGAAGGCACUAAGAGAAACUUGGGAGAUGACGGGAACCUAUUAUUUUGUUGUGUGGCAAUUAUCUUUCCUCAUUGUCUGAAGGAAAUAGACCUCUAUGGACAGUCCAUUAGGAAACAUUGAUUCUGAAGUGGAAAAGGCCAGGACGUAGAGGUCUUCGACUUGACACAUUCUGUACUUUGGUACUUGUUUGCUCUUUGCUUAGUUUCAAGUGAAAAAUUCCUUUUGAAAAAAAAAAAAAAAGAAGAAGAAGUGGUGCUUUUGUUUCAGCAAACCAGUGGCCUGGAGACUGACGGAUGGGUCUCCAUCAGCUCAGCCAAGGAGCAAGAUGGGGCUCAAGGUACACCAAACUAGGUGAUUGCGAGAGGAGAAGACACUGACUUCUCCUCACCAGGGUCUAUUCUUUGCCAAAUGUCCAACACUAAGCUGACCUGGGCUCAGAGAGGGAGGAAAAGCCUAAGAGGAGGAAUUAGAGGAGACUGGUUCAUCAGGGCACCUUGGUCAAGGAUAUAAGGAUGACAGGGUAAGGAGGUGUAGGUGGGCUCUGAGAAGUUAUUGUCAAGGAGAAAAGCAACAUGGUCAAGGGUGGGGGGAGACAUCCUCUUCGCAGCAGCGCGAACCUUUAUGAAGCCGUCUCCUAAGGCAGAGCAUGCAAAUCCCAUGAGCUGCUGCCACGAAUCUGGCCGAACUAGCUCCUAGCACUCCACAGCAUCCUUGUCAUGGUCAAUUUGGUAAACCAGGCAGGGACUGGAGCCACCAUUUCAAGGGCCUCAUAAAGUGAAACUGCAUUAUAAUUUCAGCAGUGUUCAGAGAAACUGAAGGUCUCAACAAAAUGAAACACUGGGACCACAGACAUGAAGCUCUAUCUUCCCUGCAAACAGCUUAAUAGCAUAUAAAACCAACCUUCCUUUCUGCAAUUAAAUCAGGACAAGAUAAAUGUUUCUAUUCCUUGACGUAACGGCCUUGGAGCACCUUAAUGGAAACACUCUAAUAAAAGUUUAUCUCAAAUACUGACCUGAACCUUAGCAUGGGCUGCAGGAAGAAUGGUGAGCAACAGUUCUGAGCAUUCAGUCUUAUCAAAAAAGAACCUUCUGUGUCAAAACUUGGCAAUGAGGAAAUCGGGAUGAAUUGUGAGAACUGUGGGAUGAGAAAAAUACAAUGACAUCUGGACCACGCCCCUUCCCUCCAGUCUCAGAGAAGUUAUUGCUAAUCUCGUAGGCCAAAGGUCUUCUGAAGACCUGAUGCCUCCAUUGACCCAUGGACAGCGGCUGGGAGAGGAAUAGAAGGGCCUCCCGUGUCUCCUUCCCUGAGAGCGCGUGGAAGGGAUACUUCUCACACUGGAACCGAGCUCUUUAAGGAUAAAAUCCCUUUUUAAUCUCUGAAAGAAAGGAAAAGGAAAAUCUCUCGGCAGCCAUUAAGGAAAUCCUAAGAUGUGCUCAGAGAGAAAAACGCUCCCAAGGAAUGCACCUCUUAGCACUGGAUGGAAGCCUGGCUGCAAUUCCCUCGCAGAGUUUUCCAUUUCCACGGGAAUCGUGGAGAGAUUCCAGGCUUUGCCUCCCCUGAUGACUGUAUUCCACAAAUUCCGGACCCAAGUCACAUGCACAUCCCACUCCCCGGCCCCGGCCCCUUAGCGGGUAACUAGGGACUCACUGAUCCUCAUUUCAACCAGGGCAGCCAGGGGACAGGACGGUGCUUAAAGAACAGGAACAAACAAUAAUUAAGCCAUCUUAAUCCAAAAGAAGCUAUUAAAUUGUGCUACGCUGGGCAGUCAUUUUCAUGCCCACAAAAAUCAUUUAGUGUCUCUAGCUUUAUCUGCUGAAGGGGAAAGCCAGAAAAGAAACCGAUGCUGUGAUUUUUAUGCUGAAAUCUAGAAGUCAAAAAUGGAAUUCAGUUGCUAAAUUCAUUUCCUAUUGUUCACCUUGGCUUAGAAAUACCAUGUUGUGGGCAGCCCGGGUGGCUCAGUGGGUUAGCGCCGCCUUCAGCUCAGGGCCUGAGCCUGGAGACCCGGGAUCGAGUCCCACGUCGGGCUCCCUGCA